UACGUAGGCAGCAAGCGUUGUUCGGAGUUACUGGGCGUAAAGGGUGUGUAGGCGGUUCUUUAAGUUUGGGGUGAAAUCUCCCGGCUUAACCGGGAGGGUGCGCCGAAUACUGAGGGACUAGAGUACGGGAGAGGAAAGUGGAAUUCCUGGUGUAGCGGUGAAAUGCGUAGAUAUCAGGAGGAACACCGGUGGUGUAGACGGCUUUCUGGACCGUAACUGACGCUGAGACACGAAGGCGUGGGUAGCAAACAGG
rnacentral:rRNA from 1 species